UACGGAGGGGACUAGCGUUGUUCGAAAUUACUGGGCGUAAAGCGCGCGUAGGUGGAUUUGCAAGUCGGGGGUGAAAGCCCGAGGCUCAACCUCGGAACUGCCCUCGAUACUGCAAAUCUCGAGUCCGAGAGAGGUGAGUGGAAUUCCUAGUGUAGAGGUGAAAUUCGUAGAUAUUAGGAAGAACACCAGUGGCGAAGGCGGCUCACUGGCUCGGUACUGACGCUGAGGCGCGAAAGCGUGGGGAGCAAACAGG
rnacentral:rRNA from 1 species